CCGAGUUUACAACUCCCAAACCCCUGUGAACAUACCUAUUACGUUUGCCUCGGCGGAUCAGCCCCGCGCCCCGUAAAACGGGACGGUCCGCCCGAGGACCCCUAAACUCUGUUUUUAGUGGAACUUCUGAGUAAAACAAACAAAUAAAUCA
rnacentral:misc_RNA from 1 species